CCUACGGGCGGCAGCAGUGGGGAAUUUUGGACAAUGGGGGCAACCCUGAUCCAGCCAUGCCGCGUGAGUGAAGAAGGCCUUCGGGUUGUAAAGCUCUUUCGGCCGGGAAGAAAUCGCUCAAGCUAAUACCUUGGGUGGAUGACGGUACCGGAAGAAGAAGCACCGGCUAACUACGUGCCAGCAGCCGCGGUAAUACGUAGGGUGCGAGCGUUAAUCGGAGCGUCUGCGCGUAAAGCGUGCGCACACGGCGGGAAUCCCCGGGCUUAACCGGGGAACUGCGGUUGUGACUGUGGUGCUCGAGUGCGGCAGAGGGGGGUGGAAUUCCACGUGUAGCAGUGAAAUGCGUAGAGAUGUGGAGGAACACCGAUGGCGAAGGCAGCCCCCUGGGUCGACACUGACGCUCAUGCACGAAAGCGUGGGGAGCAAACAGGAUUAGAUACCCCAGUAGUC
rnacentral:rRNA from 1 species